UAUGGUGUUAGAACGGGGCGGAGAGGCCUCGGCUCUGUUUUUGUCUGGGCAUCGGGAAACGGCAGAAGGAGCAAAGGCCACUGCUCCUGUGACGGCUACAC